rnacentral:pre_miRNA from 1 species
UUGACAGAAGAUAGAGAGCACAGAUGAUGAUGUGCAAUUAAUGGAACUCAGCAUCUCACUCAUUUGUGCUCUCUAUGCUUCUGUCA